GUUCUACAUAUUGAUCCCUGGGCAACAGGAAGAGAAUGCCACACUGGCUGUGGCUUGAGCUCCUGAGACCUCAAUGCCUACCAACUACUACUGAAAAUGGAGCCUGCCCUGGAGUGUGGCUGAUAGACUAAGUAACACUGCAUUGAGGGAAACUGAUUUUCUGUUUUCCUUAGAUAUCAGUGACACAUAGCUCCUUGAUUAGAGUCAUCUCUCUUGUGCUUUGGUGACUGCAUGCUGACUGACCAUCAGAAUGGUCCAUAUAAGUACAGUGAUUUGAAUAAACUUUGCCAACAGAGAACUGAGGACAGUUUCAGUUGUCAUAGGAUCAGUAGCAACAUCAGGUUUGUGAUUCCGUCAAGAUUCCUUAUAAGAUUGCCUUUCAAGGUUCCACCCUCCUGAAUGC